AAGCCAGAGGAAACUCUGGUGGA
rnacentral:ncRNA from 2 species